rnacentral:rRNA from 1 species
UACGGGGGGAGCAAGCGUUGUUCGGAUUUACUGGGCGUAAAGGGUGCGUAGGCGGCUUUUUAAGUUUGGUGUGAAAUCUCCCGGCUCAACCGGGAGGGUGCGCCGAAUACUGAGAAGCUAGAGUGUGGGAGAGGAAAGUGGAAUUCCUGGUGUAGCGGUGAAAUGCGUAGAUAUCAGGAGGAACACCGGUGGUGUAAACGGCUUUCUGGACCAUAACUGACGCUGAGGCACGAAAGCGUGGGUAGCAAACAGG